rnacentral:tRNA from 1 species
CAUUAGAGAGCUGGAUAGCAUUAGUCUUUUAAACUAAAGAAAAUAAAUAAAUUUAUUUCUAAUGAAUG